GACGAACGCUGGCGGCGCGCCUAACACAUGCAAGUCGAACGAGCGAGAGAGAGCUUGCUUUCUCGAGCGAGUGGCGAACGGGUGAGUAACGCGUGAGGAACCUGCCUCAAAGAGGGGGACAACAGUUGGAAACGACUGCUAAUACCGCAUAAGCCCACAGGUCGGCAUCGACCAGAGGGAAAAGGAGCAAUCCGCUUUGAGAUGGCCUCGCGUCCGAUUAGCUAGUUGGUGAGGUAAUGGCCCACCAAGGCGACGAUCGGUAGCCGGACUGAGAGGUUGAACGGCCACAUUGGGACUGAGACACGGCCCAGACUCCUACGGGAGGCAGCAGUGGGGAAUAUUGCACAAUGGGGGAAACCCUGAUGCAGCGACGCCGCGUGGAGGAAGAAGGUCUUCGGAUUGUGAACUCCUGUUGU
rnacentral:rRNA from 1 species